rnacentral:misc_RNA from 1 species
GAUGAAGAACGUAGCGAAAUGCGAUAAGUAAUGUGAAUUGCAGAAUUCAGUGAAUCAUCGAAUCUUUGAACGCACCUUGCGCUCCUUGGUAUUCCGAGGAGCAUGCCUGUUUGAGUGUCAUUAAUAUAUCAACCUUCUCUUUUUUGAGUUGUUUGGAUGUGGGGGUUUGCUGGCCUCUUAAAUGAUUCUGCUCCCCUGAAAUGCAUUAGCAGAACAACCUGUUCAUUAGCGUGAUAAUUAUCUAUGCUAUUGAAUGUGAGGGCAGUUCAGCUUUCUAACCGUCCUUGGACAAUUCAUCAUUAAUGUGACCUCAAAUCAGGUAGGACUACCCGCUGAACUUAAGCAUAUCAAUAAGCGUAGGA